CAAAUGAGUGCAGAGAGCCACCGGUCCUCUGCAAGAGCAGCCAGUGAUUAUCCACUGAGUGGUGUUGCCAGCUCCUGACCCUUUAAUUUCUCAGUAUCUGCAUUGCUGUGUCCCUGUAUAGGACCUCACAGUCUCCAUGCUGAAAAUCUGCAGUUUUCUGGAAAAAGAACUGAGUGAAGAAGAUGUGGAUGCUGUUGUGAGACAAGCCACAUUUCAGAACAUGAAAUCUGACCCACAGGCAAAUUAUGUUCAUGCUUUGAAAAAUCUAAUUAGUUCUGGAAAAAAAUGAGAAUUCUUUCCUGCACAAAGGUGAUAAACACACUGGGAACCCAGAGAACAUGAAAAACCUUAAUGGACAGAAAACAAGAGUUUUUCUGGAAAUUUGACAGUUUCAAUUUUUUGUUUUGUUUUUAAGUGUGGCUUUCCUUCAUUAUAGGUCAUAUAACACAACUCUUUUAAGGAUGGGGGUUGAAACAGGAAACAACCUAGGAACCUUCUACAGAGGGCUUCUGAAAGCCAGAAGAAGAAAACAGGAAACAAACUAGGAACCUACCACAGAGGGCCUCUGAAAGCCUCUGCCCUGCAGACUAUCAAAGCAGAUGCUGAGACUUAUGGCCAACUGUUGGGCAGAGUGAGUGGAAUUUUAUGUAAGAAGUGGGAAAUAGUAAGAGCUGGAGAGGACAAGGUCUCCACAAGGAGAGCAACAGAACAAGAAAAUUUGAACACAGGGAACUUCCCAGAGACUCAUACUCCAACCAAGGACUAUUCAUGGAGAUAACCUAAAACCCCUGCACAGAUGUAGCCCAUGGCAGUUCAGUAUCCAAGUGGGUUACAUAGUAAUGGGAAGAGGGACUGCCUCUGACAUAAUCUGAUUGGCCUGCUCUUUGAUCACCUCCCCCUGAGGGGGGAUCAGCCUUACCAGGCCAUAGUAGAGGACAAUGCAGUCACUUUUUAUGUGAACUGAUAGACUAAGAUCAGAAAGGAGAGGAGAACCUCCCCUAUUAGUGGACUUGGGGAGUGGCAUGCAUGCAGAAAG